rnacentral:rRNA from 1 species
AUGAACGCUGGCGGCGUGCCUAAUACAUGCAAGUCGAGCGAACGGACGAGAAGCUUGCUUCUCUGAUGUUAGCGGCGGACGGGUGAGUAACACGUGGAUAACCUACCUAUAAGACUGGGAUAACUUCGGGAAACCGGAGCUAAUACCGGAUAAUAUUUUGAACCGCAUGGUUCAAAAGUGAAAGACGGUCUUGCUGUCACUUAUAGAUGGAUCCGCGCUGCAUUAGCUAGUUGGUAAGGUAACGGCUUACCAAGGCAACGAUGCAUAGCCGACCUGAGAGGGUGAUCGGCCACACUGGAACUGAGACACGGUCCAGACUCCUACGGGAGGCAGCAGUAGGGAAUCUUCCGCAAUGGGCGAAAGCCUGACGGAGCAACGCCGCGUGAGUGAUGAAGGUCUUCGGAUCGUAAAACUCUGUUAUUAGGGAAGAGCAUAUGUGUAAGUAACUGUGCACAUCUUGACGGUACCUAAUCAGAAAGCCACGGCUAACUACGUG